UGCCCAGUGGCACAGUGGUAGUGCGUCUGCUGUAUUUAAAGUCUUCAGAGUAUGAUAUGCGUGGAAAGUCCGGAUUCCCUCGUUCGAUUCGGGGUCGGGCGA